UAUUCUAUGACCUUUGCUUCUCAGUGUCUGUGGAACAAGAAAACACAGUGUCAAGGUGGCACCAGUAACAGUUGCAAAGUCACCUGAAUGCAAUGGAAAAUUUUCACCCAAGCGUAACUGAGAAACUUCUGCUCCUGAGGUUGGACCAACUGCAGAGGUCAUUGGGAGCUGCAUAGUUCUGCACCUCAUGAUAGUGCCAGCAUGACAUUUGAAGCUGAAAACAUUCACUACUGCAAGAGAAUGAGCAGGGUUUAUGAAUUACUUGAAUCCAUACAAAAUGGAUGAGUCCACAUGAGGAAGAAGAUGUCCUUCUUGGCUGCUUUCAUGAAUGGCAACUACUUGGGACUGGAUUUAUGACUAAGAUGCAUCUCCAAUCACACCAGCAAAGCGGAUGCACCAGCAACAAGCAGAGCUUGAAAGGAGGAGGGAGAGCUCUCUCUCUCUACUUUAGACCAAAUAAAAUUGGUUAAAUUGAGCAUUACUAUAUUAUCACACACCAACCUCAACCCUCGAAGUGCAAAAUACUCAUAUGAUCUUCC